GACGAACGCUGGCGGCGUGCUUAACACAUGCAGGUCGAACGGAAAGGCCCUGCUUUUGUGGGGUGCUCGAGUGGCGAACGGGUGAGUAACACGUGAGUAACCUGCCCUUGACUUUGGGAUAACUUCAGGAAACUGGGGCUAAUACCGGAUAGGAGCUCCUGCUGCAUGGUGGGGGUUGGAAAGUUUCGGCGGUUGGGGAUGGACUCGCGGCUUAUCAGCUUGUUGGUGGGGUAGUGGCUUACCAAGGCUUUGACGGGUAGCCGGCCUGAGAGGGUGACCGGCCACAUUGGGACUGAGAUACGGCCCAGACUCCUACGGGAGGCAGCAGUGGGGAAUAUUGCACAAUGGGUGGAAGCCUGAUGCAGCAACGCCGUGUGCGGGAUGACGGCCUUCGGGUUGUAAACCGCUUUCGCUCAUGACGAAGCUUUGUGUGACGGUAGUGGGUAAAGAAGCACCGGCUAACUACGUG
rnacentral:rRNA from 1 species